GAGUCAACGUAUGAUAAUACGUGGCGAACGGCUCAGUAACACGUAGUCAACAUGCCCAAAGGACGUGGAUAACCUCGGGGAACUGAGGAUAAACCGCGAUAGGUCAUAAGUACUGGAAUGUUUUAUGGCUCAAAUCUACAUGGCCUCUGGAUUGGACUGCGGCCGAUCAGGCUGUUGGUGAGGUAAUGGCCCACCAAACCUGUUACCGGUACGGGCUCUGAGAGGAGGAGCCCGGAGAUGGGCACUGAGACAAGGGCCCAGGCCCUAUGGGGCGCAGCAGGCGCGAAACCUCUGCAAUAGGCGAAAGCUUGACAGGGUUACUCUGAGUGAUUCCCGCUAAGGGAAUCUUUUGGCAUCUCUAAAAACGAUGCAGAAUAAGGGGUGGGCAAGUCUGGUGUCAGCCGCCGCGGUAAUACCAGCACCCCGAGUGGUCGGGACGAUUAUUGGGCCUAAAGCAUCCGUAGCCGGUCUUGCAAGUCUUCCGUUAAAUCCACCUGCUUAACAGAUGGGCUGCGGAAGAUACUACAAGACUAGGAGGCGGGAGAGGCAAGCGGUACUCAGUGGGUAGGGGUAAAAUCCUCUGAUCCAUUGAAGACCACCAGUGGCGAAGGCGGCUUGCCAGAACGCGCUCGACGGUGAGGGAUGAAAGCUGGGGGAGCAAACCGGAUUAGAUACCCGGGUAGUCCCAGCUGUAAACGAUGCAGACUCGGUGAUGGGCCGGCUUCAUGCCGGCCCAGUGCCGCAGGGAAGCCGUUAAGUCUGCCGCCUGGGGAGUACGGUCGCAAGACUGAA
rnacentral:rRNA from 1 species